UUCGAGCUGUUCCAACAGUUUGUUGAAUAAUAUGAAACGCUAACCAUCACAUUUGAUUGUUCCCGUAUCUUGGUCGCUAAGAGGCAAUCUCUCCUCUGCUUUGUAGUUGUCAAGCCCGCGUAUAUCACAUCAUAUUCAUUUGCUACCGGAACGAGCCGUCCCGCCUGUUGCCCAUUUGGAGGCCAAUGCCAUUCAUGAUGGCUCAUCAGUACAAGAGGCGAAACCAGAGGGUAAGGAGAUAAAAUGGACAUAUCAACAACUAUUUUCUGUCAUUUCACACUUUAUACUUUUACCAACAGC
rnacentral:sRNA from 1 species